UACGGAGGGGGCUAGCGUUGUUCGGAAUUACUGGGCGUAAAGCGCACGUAGGCGGCUUUGUAAGUUAGAGGUGAAAGCCCGGGGCUCAACUCCGGAAUUGCCUUUAAGACUGCAUCGCUAGAAUUGUGGAGAGGUAAGUGGAAUUCCGAGUGUAGAGGUGAAAUCCGUAGAUAUUCGGAAGAACACCAGUGGCGAAGGCGACUUACUGGACACAUAUUGACGCUGAGGUGCGAAAGCGUGGUGAGCAAACAGG
rnacentral:rRNA from 1 species